CACUAUGUAAGAGAAAGUCCAGGUUGUACCCAUUCUACGUCCCUGGCACAUUGGUAUGUAUGAUAUGUUAUGUUAAGAGAAAGACCGGUUGUACCCAUUCUACGUCCCGGCACUUUGGAAUGUAGAGGACUAUUGGUGACAAUACCAUCCGAGAUGUGAUUUAUUGUGAUGUGUUGCAUUACAUGAUGGCAUGAGAUUUUAAAUGUUGUUUUCUAUCAUUCUGCUCACUGGGCU
rnacentral:lncRNA from 1 species